rnacentral:rRNA from 1 species
AGUGAACGCUGGCGGUAGGCCUAACACAUGCAAGUCGAACGGCAGCACAGUAAGAGCUUGCUCUUACGGGUGGCGAGUGGCGGACGAGUGAGGAAUACAUCGGAAUCUACUUUUUCGUGGGGGAUAACGUAGGGAAACUUACGCUAAUACCGCAUACGACCUACGGGUGAAAGCAGGGGAUCUUCUGACCUUGCGCGAUUGAAUGAGCCGAUGUCGGAUUAGCUAGUUGGCGGGGUAAAGGCCCACCAAGGCGACGAUCCGUAGCUGGUCUGAGAGGCUGAUCAGCCACACUGGAACUGAGACACGGUCCAGACUCCUACGGGAGGCAGCAGUGGGGAAUAUUGGACAAUGGGCGCAAGCCUGAUCCAGCCAUACCGCGUGGGUGAAGAAGGCCUUCGGGUUGUAAAGCCCUUUUGUUGGGAAAGAAAAGCAGCAGGUUAAUACCCCGCUGUUCUGACGGUACCCAAAGAAUAAGCACCGGCUAACUUCGUG